AGUGAACGCUGGCGGUAGGCCUAACACAUGCAAGUCGAACGGCAGCACAGUAAGAGCUUGCUCUUACGGGUGGCGAGUGGCGGACGAGUGAGGAAUACAUCGGAAUCUACUUUUUCGUGGGGGAUAACGUAGGGAAACUUACGCUAAUACCGCAUACGACCUACGGGUGAAAGCCGGGGAUCUUCGGACCUUGCGCGAUUGAAUGAGCCGAUGUCGGAUUAGCUAGUUGGCGGGGUAAAGGCCCACCAAGGCGACGAUCCGUAGCUGGUCUGAGAGGAUGAUCAGCCACACUGGAACUGAGACACGGUCCAGACUCCUACGGGAGGCAGCAGUGGGGAAUAUUGGACAAUGGGCGCAAGCCUGAUCCAGCCAUACCGCGUGGGUGAAGAAGGCCUUCGGGUUGUAAAGCCCUUUUGUUGGGAAAGAAAAGCAGCAGGUUAAUACCCCGCUGUUCUGACGGUACCCAAAGAAUAAGCACCGGCUAACUUCGUG
rnacentral:rRNA from 1 species